AGGUCCAGGGCAGAGCUCUUUGACUUCCCUACUCCUGCUUCUAUGUUGAGGGUCGUGGUCACUGAGAAAUGAAGGCCCUUUGCCGAGUGGGCCAAGCCUGCCUGUGCUGAGAAGAGCUCGAAGCCCCUCGGGUGCCCCAGCAGGGGUGGGGCCUGGAGGCUGCUGGACUGAGGCUGGCUCUCACCACUUCCAAGCAGGAGUCCUCUCAGCCAGGCAGCGUGACAGGAGGGGACAGCUGCAGCUCCCUCCUUGAGCUAUAAAAAGCCCCAACAGCCGAGUGAGUAGAGGGCACGCCAAGCAGAUACACGGAACUUAGCUGGACUCCGGGGGAGCUCGGCUCCACUAUGAUGCUGAGGUUACCCUGUGCCCCCAGGCUCCUGCAGGCCUCUCUGAGGGCCUGGGUGGUUCCCAAGGCACAUGUCUCCACCAAGCCGGCCCGAACACCCACAUCUCCCACGGAGCAAGCCAUUGGACUCUCUGUGAUGUUCCUCAGCUUCCUGAUUCCUGCAGGCUGGGUCUUAUCCCACCUGGACAGCUACAAGAAAGGCUCCGCGGCGUGACGGCUCCGCAGCUCGGGCUCCAGGCGCACGACGGAGAAUUGCAUUAAACCCCUCCCCCACCUAG